rnacentral:rRNA from 1 species
UUUGGUGGCGAUAGCGAAGAGGUCACACCCGUUCCCAUGCCGAACACGGAAGUUAAGCUCUUCAGCGCCGAUGGUAGUUGGGGGCUUCCCCCUGUGAGAGUAGGACGCCGCCAA